rnacentral:lncRNA from 1 species
UUGGCCUGGUUUUAAGUCCUUUUGCUUGUAAAAAUGUAAGUUCGAACAAGUUGCAGCGCUAUAGUGCGACAGCUUACCGAACCGAGCAAAACAGCCCCAAAACAGCUCUGUUUUCGCGUGCCAUAGGUUGUUUUCUACAGCUUACUGCCGCAUGCGAAACGUCAGCCGUCUCAACACCCUAAAACCACCCGGGUGGCACCAUGG